rnacentral:rRNA from 1 species
AUUGAACGCUGGCGGCAGGCCUAACACAUGCAAGUCGAGCGGAGCGGCGGACGGGUGAGUAAUGCCUAGGAAUCUGCCUGGUAGUGGGGGAUAACGUCCGGAAACGGGCGCUAAUACCGCAUACUAUCAGAUGAGCCUAGGUCGGAUUAGAUUGUUGGUGGGGUAAAGGCAUACCAAGUCGACGAUCCGUAAAUGGUCUGAGAGGAUGAGCAGUCACACUGGAACGGAGACACGGUCCAGAUGCCGACGGUAGGCGGCAGGGGGGAAUAUUGGACAAGGGGCGAAAGCCUGAUCCAGCGAUGCCGCGUGUGUGAAGAAGGACUUCGGAUAGUAAAGCACUUUAAGUUGGGAGGCGUUACCAACAGAAUAAGCACCGGCUAACUGCGUGCCAGCAGCCGCGGUAAUAC